AGAUUGAACGCUAGCGGGAUGCCUUACACAUGCAAGUCGAACGGCAGCGCGGACUUCGGUCUGGCGGCGAGUGGCGAACGGGUGAGUAAUAUAUCGGAACGUGCCCAGUAGCGGGGGAUGACUACGCGAAAGCGUGGCUAAUACCGCAUACGCCCUACGGGGGAAAGGGGGGAUCGCAAGACCUCUCACUAUUGGAGCGGCCGAUAUCAGAUUAGCUAGUUGGUGAGGUAAAGCUCACCAAGGCGACGAUCUGUAGCUGGUUGAGAGGACGACCAGCCACACUGGGACUGAGACACGGCCCAGACUCGUACGGGAGGCAGCAGGUGGGAAUUUUGGACAAGUGGGGGAAACCUGGACUCCGAGCCACUCCGCGUGUGCGAGUGAAGGUCCUUCGGGUUAGUAA
rnacentral:rRNA from 1 species